CCGUCUCGCCCGCUCUGUCGGGGAGGUGGAGCGUGAGCGCGCGCGAUAGGACCCGAAAGAUGGUGAACUAUGC
rnacentral:rRNA from 1 species